CCCUGGCCCCUGGAGAUCAUACCUCUUCUACAGAAUCAAAGCUAGGGUUUCAAUUCUUCAUCCAAGUAGAGAGGAUCCCUCUAGUUCUUCUAGUUCUACCUCUAGUUCAUCUAGAUCUAGUUCUAGUUCAUCUAGUUCUAGUUCUAGUUCCUCUAGUUCUAGUUCUAGUUAGUUCUAGUUGUAAUCUAGAAAAUAGGGAGAGAGGAGAGG
rnacentral:lncRNA from 1 species